ACAAACUGGGGCUAUGUGAGGGUUUCAUGAAAAUACCAUGUACAUGUUAUUUAAAACACUGGAUCCUUAUCGGUCCCACGACUAUUAUGUGUUUAUUUAAUUGUGCUAGUACAACCCUGAAGCCCCACAGAGUGUUGACAUUUCAAUUACUGAAAAACUAUUUUUUCUUCUACAGUAUUAUGGCAACGGAGGUAAAACAAGGUACGUUUAAAGGGGCACUCCACCAAUUUUACACAUUACAGCCGGUUUAUUAGUGAAGUCUCAGUCAGGUUUGAAUAAAACAACCGCAGUGAUGUAACUGUGAUGUCAAUUGUGUUCAUAACUGAGUGCCUGGAUUACAAACUGGGCGACAUCAGGCUCGUCCCAGAUGAACUGCGCCUCGCCUGAAAAAGAGGGAAGGCGGCAGCAGCGGGGGGGUGUUAAAAGUCAGCAAUCUAGUUGGACAGUUUCCAGCAGCCGUCAGUCUGAGUAUGAUGUCGGGAUCAAGUAGGACAUGUCUGCUGACAAUCAACAAGAAGGGAUGUUCAAACGAAACAGAGAGUUUCAAUAUGGGACCGAGUGUUUUUGGAGUUUAGAAAUCGCACCUCACCAACAAGUCGCUAUAUGGCUCUCAUCCACGCUUGUCAACCAUCAUUAGGCAACGUAGAGUAGCCGAAUGAAGCAGCUGGUUGUGUACUGUUAUGGAAACCUGACACUAUCAGAAGGGUUUGCACCACAUUAAGGAAGGUUCUAGAAGACAUUGGUCUGUAAAGCAAAGAAUUUUUGACUGCAAUGCUGGACAGAGGGAGCUGGAUGAAAAACUUUAUUCAUGUCUCCGAUUCUGUCAGCAAAACAGUCAAUGAUUGGUCUGCUAUUUAAUCCGAAUUGGAAUGUUUAGCUCAAUUAUUAGCUGGUAUCCCAUUUUCAAAAGAGCAAUUACAGCUGGUCUGACUUUAACAUUUCUUACAUGUACUUUAUCUCCUGAUCUAAUCACACUUAUUGUCAUCACUGAAAUCAUAUAAAAAUCCUUAUUAUCAUAACUCUUAGGGAUACUAGGCUGUCCUGCAUCACUGUAAGAUACUGUAUCCACAAUUCAAACAUUGAUUAACAUGCUUUAUCUAUUGCUGAAAUUUCAUCUUUGUAAAAACCCCACUGGAUUGUAAAUAAUUUGCUUUAUUUGUAGCUCUAGCGAAACAGUUGAAAUAGAAGACAAGCAGGAAUACUGCUUAUUUUCAGGGUCAUAAAUAAUGAUAUAUGAUUCUGGACAUGCACAUAAACAGUCUAAACAAGUCACGACCUUGAAGGGAAUAUGAUACUAAGAGUAUAAAAAUGCAGCCUAAAACACAAGGCAGGACUGGAGACCCAUAAAAUCUCUCGUGGAUGACAACAACUUAUUCUGAAGUCUACUGUCAUACAUCCAGUAAAAGUUGGCUGAACACAUUCAAAAAAAUAACAGUCGGGGAGAGAAAUGAGUAAAAUAACUGAGCAGUAUGUUCCAUGGCCGUGCAGCCAAGUCACCCAUCCGUGGUCAGGAAUGUGACGGAAAGUUUGUCUGAGGAACAGCCGUUCUGGUUCAGCACAUCUGGGAAGCUCCACACACACGCCUCCUCUUGUGAUAAUUUGUCAGAUAUUGAAUUGGAUCAUGUUUAUGUGGCUCAAUCAAUCAGUCUUGAUCAUAAAAGUGUCAAAGAGGCACGAGCCAUUCUUCCAUUGCCUCAGAUGAGUCUUCAAAAGUUGAUAUACCGCCUCGUGUCAUAUGCAGAAGAACCACCUUGGUGCAGUGUGUGUUGAGUUAACAAUUAAUAUCCCUCGGCUUUGUUUGCGGUUUGGGAUAUUGAUUCAGUUGGAAGAGACAAAAGAGAAACAGAAAAACACACAACCAAACCUCUCCCUUGGGCGACAAUCAUUCGACCAGGAUUUAAAAUGUCUUCCCUGGAACUAUCUUGCAUGCUUUGCUCAAAUCUACUGAGAAAGCCAACUAAGUUUGACCUUUGACCUUUCUAGACUAAAAAGUAGACCAUUAAAAUUAGUCCAUCAAGGAUUUUUUGUCUGAUCUGGUGCUCAGACUCCAGUUAAACUUAAACUAUGGGGAUUUAGCAAACAAAUAUACGUGGCCUUGCGUGGCAGACUACAGACUUUAACACACAGCAGUGAAUUUCAUUCAGGUUUCACAGCCCACUAACUGCAGAAUAAACACACACUGACAUAUGCUGGCAAAUGUACUUCUAUUUCCAGUGUGUGUGUGCAUGCAAAUCUGCCGAGAAGUACUGCAUGUCUUAAUGAGCAUGUAUCCGGCCUCAUGUGCUGUAUAGGCACAAUGGGCUGGUUACUGACUGCUGAACAAAUCAUUUUCAGAUCCCAUAUGUCUCCUGUGGAUUUAUGAUCAUGUAUACAUAAAGACUAGAAAUGACUGUUGAGGAUAAAUCAUUAUGGACUAACAUUAUGUUGUGUAGAUGUUUUUGUGGUUUGAUGAGUUCUAUGAAGUGCACUUUGCCACCAGUACAACUGUCAGGUCUGCUCCAGCAGGCUCUGGCUAGGGCUCCUCCCUCCUUCUGUGUCUCUUCCUUUUUAGGUAUUCAGAGUGUUGUGGCAGCAGCCGCAGGUGAACAAUCAGGGGGAUCAGCUGAAGCAGGAACAGGUGUGUUGGAGCCAAUCAGUCAUCCACCUCCUCUCCUCAUAUAUAGAUGCCAGUCACCACUUGGACGCCGGAUUGUGAAUGCACACAUUGGAACCUCACCCACUCCUGUGGCCGAACCAUCUGCCCCUCCCCGGACUCACCAACAACAACAGUUUUCAAGAGGACACCGGAAUUCCCUCCACCCACCGUCCAUCUUCAGUCUGGAUUUCAUUCUGCCGUCGCUGCCUCUGCCUUCAACUCCAGUCCUCAGCCCGUUACCCCCCUCCCUAGUCAGCAGUCCGUCCCCAGCAUGAGCCAGGUUGAGGUAUUAGUGUUGUUUAGUUAACGUUACCUGAGACCCUGUCAUUUUUAGUGAGCUUAGUUGCUCUUUAGCUUUGAGUCUGCGUAGUUUUUCUAGUGAGCUUAGUUGCUCUUCAGCUUUGAGUCUGUGUAGUUUUUCUAAUGAGCUUAGUUAUUUUCCCCAGUUCCUGUUUCCGGGAUCCGGCUUCUGGGAGUUGUAGUCUUUUGGUUUUUGCUCUUUGUCAAUAAAAGUAUUCUUGUUUGCA